rnacentral:rRNA from 1 species
GAUGAACGCUGGCGGCGUGCCUAAUACAUGCAAGUCGAGCGAACGGACGAGAAGCUUGCUUCUCUGAUGUUAGCGGCGGACGGGUGAGUAACACGUGGAUAAUCUACCUAUAAGACUGGGAUAACUUCGGGAAACCGGAGCUAAUACCGGAUAAUAUUUUGAACCGCAUGGUUCAAAAGUGAAAGACGGUCUUGCUGUCACUUAUAGAUGGAUCCGCGCUGCAUUAGCUAGUUGGUAAGGUAACGGCUUACCAAGGCAACGAUGCAUAGCCGACCUGAGAGGGUGAUCGGCCACACUGGAACUGAGACACGGUCCAGACUCCUACGGGAGGCAGUAGUAGGGAAUCUUCCGCAAUGGGCGAAAGCCUGACGGAGCAACGCCGCGUGAGUGAUGAAGGUCUUCGGAUCGUAAAACUCUGUUAUUAGGGAAGAACAUAUGUGUAAGUAACUGUGCACAUCUUGACGGUACCUAAUCAGAAAGCCACGGCUAACUACGUG